rnacentral:lncRNA from 1 species
CACCCCUCUGCCCAUCACUGUCUGUCACACUGGCGUGCUCUCUCUCUCACAGCCCUUGUCGUCACCUGAAAUCAUCUGGGUUAUUUGCCCACUUGUGGACUGUCUUUUCUCCUCACUGGAAUGUAAGUUCUGGGACUGUUUUUGUCCCUGCCACGUCCUCAAUACUAACAACAGUGUGCCUAGCACAUGGCAGGUGCUCAAUGAGUACUUGUUCACAGAACCAGCCACAUGGACUAAGGGCCUAAGUUACAACUCAAGUUUAUUCUAGGUUGCUGCCCCCAGACUCUCUUUUGUAGGACAGCUUUUCCCUGUCCUACGACUUCUUUAAGACAGUAAUUUCUUUAAGUGCUCAGAGGUCACUCAUUUAUCUACCAGCUCUACCACCUACAGGCUGUGUGACCUUGGGCAAGUUACUUAAUGUCUCUGUGUCUCAGUUUUGUCAGCUGUAAAAUGGGGGUAAUAACAGUGCCCACUUCAUAGAGUAAAUGUGAGAAUUGAAUGAAUGCAUAAAGAGUGCUUAAAACAGCACAGGGACACAGUGUUCAAUAACGUUAGCUCUAUUAUUUUUAUCAUUGUUAUCAUCACCACUGUCAUCAUCACUGGUGUUUUUAAUUGAGAUAUACUUGACAUAUAACAUAUUAGUUGCAGCUGUACAGCAUAAUGAUUCAAUAUACGUAUAUAUUUCAACAUGAUCAGCAAAAUCUAGUUAACAUCCAUCACCAGUCUGACUCCUGGAAGAGGCAACUGGUGUCUCUGCCUUCACGUAAUAAUACUUUGUGCCACUCUGCCUGCACAGUACCCUCCAGUGGUUUUCGAUUUCACUUCAGAAAAAGACCAAACCCCUUUAAGUAGCCUGUGAGCCCCACAAGCACCUCUCCAGCCUCAUCCUGCAUGGCUUUCCCCGUUGUUUGACCCCCUGCAGUCACACCAGCCUCAUUUCAGCGUUCAUGUGACUUCUGCUUGUCCCACAUCAGGCACUUUGCCUGGAACUUACUCUCCCUCCACCUUUACCUGGUCAGUGCCUGCUCUUCGUCCCCAUCUCAGCUAGGUCAUUACCGUCUUAGCCUCCCACGACCACUGACGAGGGAAAUUCCCUAUUUCACACUCGGGGCAACACGUCCCUCUGUGGUAGCACGUCUCACAGUUGUGCGUUUGCUCUCUGCCUUCACUUGGAUUAACAUCUGCCUUCCCUGUUAGAUGCUAAACUCCAUGAGAACAGAGACCAACUCGUUCUUUGCUCACCUUUGUACUCCCAAUGCGAGCAGUGUUUGCACAGAAGAGGGACAGCACCUGUGUUUGACCCUUAUUUCUAUCCUCCUGCACUAUUCUGCACAUAGGAGAAAAG